GAUGAACGCUGGCGGCGUGCCUAAUACAUGCAAGUCGAGCGAAUGGAUUAAGAGCUUGCUCUUAUGAAGUUAGCGGCGGACGGGUGAGUAACACGUGGGUAACCUGCCCAUAAGACUGGGAUAACUCCGGGAAACCGGGGCUAAUACCGGAUAACAUUUUGAACCGCAUGGUUCGAAAUUGAAAGGCGGCUUCGGCUGUCACUUAUGGAUGGACCCGCGUCGCAUUAGCUAGUUGGUGAGGUAACGGCUCACCAAGGCAACGAUGCGUAGCCGGCCUGGGGGGGUGAUCGGCCACACUGGGACUGAGACACGGCCCAGACUCCGACGGGAGGCAGCAGUAGGGAAUCUUCCGCAAUGGACGAAAGUCUGACGGAGCAACGCCGCGUGAGUGAUGAAGGCUUUCGGGUCGUAAAACUCUGUUGUUAGGGAAGAACAAGUGCUAGUUGAAUAAGCUGGCACCUUGACGGUACCUAACCAGAAAGCCACGGCUAACUACGUGCCAGCCGCCGCCGUAA
rnacentral:rRNA from 1 species